AACGCUGGCGGCAGGCCUAACACAUGCAAGUCGAGCGGAUGAAGGGAGCUUGCUCCUGGCUUCAGCGGCGGACGGGUGAGUAAUGCCUAGGAAUCUGCCUGGUAGUGGGGGAUAACGUCCGGAAACGGGCGCUAAUACCGCAUACGUCCUGAGGGAGAAAGUGGGGGAUCUUCGGACCUCACGCUAUCAGAUGAGCCUAGGUCGGAUUAGCUAGUUGGUGGGGUAAAGGCCUACCAAGGCGACGAUCCGUAACUGGUCUGAGAGGAUGAUCAGUCACACUGGAACUGAGACACGGUCCAGACUCCUACGGGAGGCAGCAGUGGGGAAUAUUGGACAAUGGGCGAAAGCCUGAUCCAGCCAUGCCGCGUGUGUGAAGAAGGUCUUCGGAUUGUAAAGCACUUUAAGUUGGGAGGAAGGGCAGUAAGUUAAUACCUUGCUGUUUUGACGUUACCAACAGAAUAAGCACCGGCUAACUUCGUG
rnacentral:rRNA from 1 species